ACUCAAAUGAAUUGACGGGGGCCCGCACAAGCGGUGGAGCAUGUGGUUUAAUUCGACGCAACGCGAAGAACCUUACCAGGGCUUGACAUCCCGCGAACCCCGCCGAAAGGCGGGGGUGCCCGCAAGGGAGCGCGGAGACAGGUGGUGCAUGGCUGUCGUCAGCUCGUGUCGUGAGAUGUUGGGUUAAGUCCCGCAACGAGCGCAACCCUCACCCCUUGUUGCCACCAGGUCAGGCUGGGCACUCUAGGGGAACUGCCCCGGUCAACGGGGAGGAAGGCGGGGAUGACGUCAAGUCAUCAUGCCCCUUACGCCCUGGGCUACACACGUGCUACAAUGGCCGGUACAAAGGGACGCUAGACCGCGAGGUGGCGCUAACCCCAAAAAGCCGGUCUAAGUUCAGAUUGGAGUCUGCAACUCGACUCCAUGAAGGCGGAAUCGCUAGUAAUCGCGCAUCAGCACGGCGCGGUGAAUACGUUCCCGGGCCUUGUACACACCGCCCGU
rnacentral:rRNA from 1 species